GUUUUUGAGAGGAAAGGAAAUUUGAUCUUUUGCUAAGUGUCCAGCACCAUAAUUAUUUUUUGAAAUUAAAUGGAUAAGUGGGAAAGACCCCUUUCCACUGGGAGACAUUGAAUAAAGGUAGAAAUGACUCAUUCUUCAUAUACAUAUUUGGUGGCAGUGUUAAAAUAGUUUUAUGAUUUAUAAUCAUUAAGGGUGGGCCCCACAUUCCAAUAAAUAAAAGAAACAUAGUUUGUUGAGUUUUCAACUUGCAAAGUCUAUUCCUUUAAGCUAGCAGCAAGCAUGUUCAACGUAAUGGCAAUACAAUUACUUUUAAACUUAUACCUUUACUUUAUCAAUUCUCGUUGAAGAUGAAUAAACGUACAACAACUCUUUUAAGGCAGCUCAUCUUGAAUUUAAGCUAUUCAUCAAAUGGAGUGGAGGCAGCAAUGAAACCUAUAUGUAUCAAUGCAGCUACCACAAAGGGCAGCAAGCAAUGUCAUUUUCAGAUUCUAUAAUAGCAGUAUAGGUAUUAGAAGAAGAAACGUAAUAUUUUCUGUUUGGGGGCAGCAACGUUCUAUCAACUCUUAUAAUCCUUGAAUAAACCCCUUAGUAGCAGCUGCUCAUGGAUGUAGUGCAUUUGGAGCUCUUAGUAACUUCAUCCUAUAUAAAGAAAAGUUGUAAUUUCCAGCAAGAAUUUUAAGAGGUCAAGCUUGCUAGUAAGGCUUUCCUUCCAAUUAUUGAGGCUAAAGGGGCGACGAGGCGAAAAGGAUUCAUGAAUAGUCGCUGACAGGUAUGUAAGGCAACCUUCUUUCUUUUGGCAUGCCUUAGUUUGUAUAGGCUAGAUUAUAAGCCUUAAGGAAAUUCUAAAUUCGAAAUCCGAGCAUCUUACGAUCCGUAUAUGUACCUUGGCACUCUUAUGUAUGAUUUGAUGAAAUAUGAACCUUUAUGUAUUUGAAAUAAUCGCUUUCCGAACUUUGCGCAAAAAGGUUCGCUUUAAGUAACUUCGAAAUUUUUGAAGGCCAUACCUUUCACAUAAAUGCUCGGAUUGCUCCAAUAUAUUUUUAUAAAAGUUUACAUUACGUAUAACGAGUACAUUUUCCAUGAGCGGGCCCGACUUGGGUAAAUUCCUGUCCGCGGGUCCCGCGACUUUCCUUUAUGUAAUUCGGGAACUUUUGAAGGAAUUUGUUAAGACUAUUAUUUCGAUUUUCAAGUAUGAUCAUUUUACUUAUGUUUGAAUUUAUGAUAAUGAUUUUAUGCAUAUGACUACUCAUGACUCUAUUCGUGCACUUUGUUAUUCCCUUCGCCGAGUCCCGGGCCGGUUCUGUUAUCGUGCGCAUUUUGAUAUACUCCGGAGUUAUGUUGUGUUUAUGGUUCACCGAGCUACUCGCAAAAGAGGGUCGGGUUCCACUUAUAUUUGGUGUUAUGCUGUGUAUGGCGUUAUGUUGUGAGGUGAUAUGUGACGGGGAUACGGAGAUUUGAAACUUUCUGGUGUUAUGCUGUGUUAUGGCGCCAUCGACGGGCGGGCGACCAUAUUCUUCUGUACCCUAUGCAUGACUUACAUAUUUGAAACUAAACAUUUUGAUAUGAUUGGAUUUGCACUUAUGUUCGGCACUUCUGUUUCGUUUAUGUCUCAGGUACAGACGCACAGUUUGGUGAUCCUUCCGUUUAGGACAUCCCCUUCUGCUGUUUGGAGUGCUCUUCUCAUUUCAGAGCAUACAUUUUGGUAUAUAAUUGUUCGUUAUGUGUAUAUGUAUUUGUUCAGGGGUACGGCGGGGCCCUGUCCCGCCAUAUGAUUCGUUUGGUCUGUUUAGAGGUCUGUAGACUUAUUUGUGGGUGUGUGUGCCUACUUCUGCUCAGUUGUCUUUAUAUGACUCUAUU